rnacentral:rRNA from 1 species
GAUCAUGGCUCAGGAUGAACGCUAGCGACAGGCUUAACACAUGCAAGUCGAACGGUAACAUAAAGAAGCUUGCUUCUUUGAUGACGAGUGGCGGACGGGUGAGUAAUGCUUGGGAAUCUAGCUUAUGGAGGGGGAUAGCUACGGGAAACUGUAGCUAAUACCGCGUAGAAUCGAGAGAUGAAAGUGUGGGACCUUCGGGCCACAUGCCAUAGGAUGAGCCCAACGUGGGAGUUAGG